UGCCUGAUAGCUCAGUUGGUAAAGAAUGAGACUCUUCAUCACGGGGUAGUGGGUUUGAGCCCCAUGUUGGCCAA